GGAAAUUUUACCUUAUGGAGCGAUACAUCAUGAAAUCAAUUGUUGUGCAUCUAGGAAAUUUACCAAUAGAGCUCUCUUCCACUGGGGUGUACACUUUGAUUUGUCUCAUAUGAGUGUCUCUUCCAUUUUGGUGAUUAGCUAGAACAGCUAUCUGAAUCAUAAAUGUGCGGAUAGGCUUCUUAUGGGUAUCUGUUAAAGGAACAUGAAUCCAGCCGCUUGGUUCCACUAAUUCAAGUUGCCGCACUUCCUGGAGAUUGUGAAAAUUAUUUCCUACUCUGACAGAGAUUUUGCUUGGAGUGUAGCUUUCAUCAGAUUUGUAGUCUGCAUAAAUACAUAAUGUCUUCACUGUUGUUUUCCUUCUAAAUUGGAUGUUCACCAAAUGAGGCUGUGAUCCAUCUGACUGCCAGUAAGUUUCUAGAUUAUCAUCUCGUAACUGAUCCACUCCAAAUCCUGGUUUACAAGACGAAAGUGACCAAACUGCUUGUGAGCCUAUUUCUCUAACAGUACCCGUCCUCUCUAACUGUUUUGGAUCAGCACCAGGUGGUGUCUUGUUUGGG
rnacentral:lncRNA from 1 species